GUGCUUGCUUGGGCAGCACGUAUACUAAAAUUGGAACCAUACAGAGAAGAGUAGCAGGGCCCCUGCGCAAGGAUGACACACAAACUUGUGAAGUGUUCCAGAUUUUU
ensembl:snRNA U6 U6 spliceosomal RNA